rnacentral:rRNA from 1 species
ACGAACGCUGGCGGCGUGCUUAACACAUGCAAGUUGUACGAUCUGGUAGCAAUACUAGGGAGUAGCGGACGGGUGAGUAACACAUAGGUAACCUCCCCUUAAGACCGGCAUAACCUGCCGAAAGGCGGGCUAAUUCUGGAUAUUAUUAUUUAGACGCAAGUUUAGAGAAUGAAAGGGAAAUCACUUAAGGAUGGGCUUAUGGCUUAUCAGCUUGUUGGUGAGGUAACGGCUCACCAAGGCUAUGACGAGUAGCUG